rnacentral:rRNA from 1 species
GACCACAGCUAUACCACCCUGAAUGCACCUGAUCUCGUCUGAUCUUGGAAGCUAAGCAGGGUCAGGCUUGAUUAGUACUUGGAUGGGAGAACCUUUAGGAUGUUGGGGUUGUUGGAA